rnacentral:rRNA from 1 species
AUACGUAGGGGGCGAGCGUUGUCCGGAAUGAUUGGGCGUAAAGGGCGCGUAGGCGGCUUUGCAAGUCAGUAGUGGAAGUCCAUUUUUCAAGGAGGGAAGUGCUACAGAAACUGCGGAGCUUGAUUGCAGGUGAGGUUAUCGGAAUUCCCGGUGUAGCGGUGAAAUGCGUAGAGAUCGGGAGGAACACCAGUGGCGAAGGCGGGUAACUGGACUGCAACUGACGCUGAGGCGCGAAAGUGUGGGGAGCAAACAGGAUUAGAUACCCUGGUAGUCCACACUGUAAACGAUGAAUGCUAGGUGUAGGAGGUAUCGACCCCUUCUGUGCCGCAGUAAACACAGUAAGCAUUCCGCCUGGGGAGUACGGUCGCAAGAUUAAAACUCAAAUGAAUUGACGGGG